AGAGUUUGAUCAUGGCUCAGGACGAACGCUGGCGGCGUGCUUAACACAUGCAAGUCGAGCGAGGCCCUCCUUCGGGGGGUGCCCUAGCGGCGAACGGGUGAGUAACACGUGGGCAACCCGCCCUCAGCUCUGGGAUAACUCCAAGAAAUUGGUGCUAAUACCGGAUGUGACCGCUGACCGCAUGGUCUGGUGGUGGAAAGAUUCAUCGGCUGAGGAUGGGCCCGCGGCCUAUCAGCUUGUUGGUGGGGUAAUGGCCCACCAAGGCGACGACGGGUAGCCGGCCUGAGAGGGUGACCGGCCACACUGGGACUGAGACACGGCCCAGACUCCUACGGGAGGCAGCAGUGGGGAAUAUUGCGCAAUGGGCGAAAGCCUGACGCAGCGACGCCGCGUGAGGGAUGACGGCCUUCGGGUUGUAAACCUCUUUCAGUAGGGACGAAGCGCAAGUGACGGUACCUACAGAAGAAGCACCGGCCAACUACGUGCCAGCAGCCGCGGUAAUACGUAGGGUGCAAGCGUUGUCCGGAAUUAUUGGGCGUAAAGAGCUCGUAGGCGGUCUGUCACGUCGGCUGUGAAAACCCGAGGCUCAACCUCGGGCCUGCAGUCGAUACGGGCAAACUAGAGUACUGCAGGGGAGACUGGAAUUCCUGGUGUAGCGGUGAAAUGCGCAGAUAUCAGGAGGAACACCGGUGGCGAAGGCGGGUCUCUGGGCAGUAACUGACGCUGAGGAGCGAAAGCGUGGGGAGCGAACAGGAUUAGAUACCCUAGUAGUCC
rnacentral:rRNA from 1 species